rnacentral:rRNA from 1 species
UUGACCUCGGAUCAGGUAGGACUACCCGCUGAACUUAAGCAUAUCAAUAAGCGGAGGAAAAGAAACCAACAGGGAUUGCCCCAGUAACGGCGAGUGAAGCGGCAACAGCUCAAAUUUGAAAUCUGGCCUUCGGGUCCGAGUUGUAAUUUGGAGAGGAUGCUUCUGGCGCGGCGCCGUCCGAGUUCCUUGGAACAGGACGCCAUAGAGGGUGAGAGCCCCGUACGGGCGGCCGCCUAGCCUUUGUGAAGCUCCUUCGACGAGUCGAGUAGUUUGGGAAUGCUGCUCAAAAUGGGAGGUAAAUUUCUUCUAAAGCUAAAUAUUGGCCAGAGACCGAUAGCGCACAAGUAGAGUGAUCGAAAGAUGAAAAGCACUUUGAAAAGAGGGUUAAAAAGUACGUGAAAUUGUUGAAAGGGAAGCGCCUGUGACCAGACUUGCGACCCGCGGAUCAUCCGGUGUUCUUCACCGGUGCACUCCGCGGGCUGCAGGCCAGCAUCGGUUUUCCUAGGGGGAUAAAGGUCGCGGGAACGUAGCUCUUUCGGGAGUGUUAUAGCCCGUGGCGUCAUGCCUCUGGGGGGACCGAGGACCGCGCU